rnacentral:rRNA from 1 species
AUUGAACGCUGGCGGAAUGCUUUACACAUGCAAGUCGAACGGUAACAGGCCUUCGGGCGCUGACGAGUGGCGAACGGGUGAGUAAUGCAUCGGAACGUGCCCAGAGGUGGGGGAUAACGCAGCGAAAGCUGUGCUAAUACCGCAUAUUAUCUGAGGAUGAAAGCGGGGGACUAAGCAGCAAUGUUUGGCCUCGCGCCUUUGGAGCGGCCGAUAUCAGAUUAGGUAGUUGGUGAGGUAAAGGCUCACCAAGCCAACGAUCUGUAGCUGGUCUGAGAGGACGACCAGCCACACUGGAACUGAGACACGGUCCAGACUCCUACGGGAGGCAGCAGUGGGGGAAUUUUGGGACAAUGGGCGAAAGCCUGAUCCAGCCAUUCCGCGUGCAGGAUGAAGGCCCUCGGGUUGUAAACUGCUUUUGUACAGAACGAAAAGGUCUCUAUUAAUACUAGGGGCUCAUGACGGUACUGUAAGAAUAAGCACCGGCUAAC